ensembl:lncRNA
AUAGUAAUAAAAAUGGGUGAUGAUGAAAUGCUGAAUAAAAAACAAAUUCUGUUUGAUAAGAAAAAUGUUCCCUUGAGAGAAAAUGUUAUCCUGUGAUCAUAAAUCUGCAGCUGGAGCUGAGUGAAAAUAAGCAACCUUAGGUCAGGCAGCUGCACAGAGGUGGAGGUGGUGUCGAUCUUAUAAUUUAGAGGCAAUGGUUGCAAAGUGCUUAGCUCUGAUGGAGAGAAUUAUUUACAGCAAGUGCAGAGAAUAAUCUAGUGAUAUGUGAGGGUCUGCAGUUACAUAAAAGAGAGAGAUUACCCUUUGAUCCAAAUAUCUGUGCUCUCUUAUAGCCCUCAUUACAGACGUUGAUCAACCAAGCCUGCUGCACUGCUGCCAGAUGAAAAAAGAUGAGAGUGACACUCUCGCCUCCUCAGCAGUUUAUCUAUGGGAGCUGUGGAAUUAUUGCAGUGAUGGAACAUAGGGCUGGACAAAAAGUGGAGGUGGUAGUGAUCACUGUUCCUUGGUGAUUCCUCCUCAGAGAAUGAAUGCAGGGAGUUCUGCUACGGAAAACCACAACCACUGGAGAGCAAUUUUUCAUGCUGAACUGCUUCCAAAUAAAAGCCCUUGGAGAUAAUUCCUCUGGACCUCUGCAAAAGUCCUUUUCUGUGCAGGUCUGAAACAAGUUAUGAGGGAUACAUGUGUUAUGUACUGAAACUACUAUUACCGAGAGGUAAUGGCAUUUAAAUGCAUUCUACAUUUAUUACCACGUGUUUAUUAUGAGCUCAGAAUUAUUAAAAAACACUUUAGCGCUGCACUGUGGUGGUGGUAUGGAUAUUGGAUCCAGAGUGGAUUUGUUUUCUGCUCCGUGGAGCAUUCCCAGCCAUUCAGCAAGAGCCUGCAAGGUCCACACAGCCGUGAACUGAUCGGGCCCAGAGCUGCUGUGCUGGAGGGAACAAAUGCAUCCUGUCAGCAAGAAUCAGAAUUACUUCAGGAUGGAAAAAUAAAAGAUACCCUUUUGCAGAGAUAUCAGGAAUUACCACAUGGGGACACCUGCUGGAGAGGCACAAGAUUAUUAAACUGAGGAUAAGUGAGAUAAAGGUGCUUCCAAAUGACUCCUGAUGUGAACAGUUUCACUGUGACCCCAUACAGCAAUCUCCAGUUCAAAAGAAUCGCUAAUUGUCUUACAAGGACUGAGUUUUAUAAAGCUCAUCAGAAGAAAUGCAAAAUCACGGUCUGGUUUAAUGCACUCUUCUCCUUGUACUGUCUUCAUGAGGUGACAAGCAUCAAAAUACCCAGCCAAGCUGUGGGACAGGAUGGAAAAUCCUUGAGAGCAAGUGGAGAACUUCUGGAGACAAACACCCAGACAUCAACCCCUCUGAACAGUGCAUGUGAACACAUGAUUUGUAUCAUACGAUUUGUGCCUUUGAUUUUUUUUGCUUAGUAGUCAAUUUAUUGUUCAAACGGAUGGUAAGGAUAAAGGCAGCAAGCAUCAGAUAAACAGGAGUAAACAAAAUUCACAUUUGGGAACUAUUUUCACUGAGAUCCAUUCUGCCUUACACAAGGAUGAUACAAUAAAACAAUAGUGGGAACCUCUUUUCA